rnacentral:tRNA from 1 species
GGCGCCGCCCUCCUCGUCCCGGUCCACCGCACCGGCCGCCCGUCCGUCCCGGACGCCGUACCGGAGGCGACACG